AGUCGGUUGGACGGUUGCGGGCAUAAGGAGUGAUCCUGUGCGUGAGGAAAGUCCGAGCUCCGCAGGGCAGAGUGCAAGGUAAUACCUUGUGAAGGCGACUUCCAGGAAAGUGCAACAGAAAUAAACCGCCGCAAAAGCGGUAAGGGUGGAAAGGCGAGGUAAGAGCUCACCCACAGUAUGGCGACUUACUGAUGAUGUAAACCCCACUCGGAGCAACACCUGAUAGAGGAGGCUAAGCCGGCCCGGCGUCUCCCGGGAAGGUGGCUUAAGAUACGCAGUGAUGCGUAUAUUAGAUAGAUGACCGUCUUAAAUGACAGAACUCGGCUUACAGACCGGCUGA
rnacentral:RNase_P_RNA from 1 species